GUAGCAGGAGACAAGAUGAGGGUAAUCACCGCAACACCUAGACUCAUUUAGAUCAAGUAAACUUACUGAGGCUCCAGAAGAAGGUCUUCAGGACUCCGACCUUAGUUAUAGAUUAAAAGAAGUUACUCACUUGUGUCUUUAGACGAAUGCACACUUACACAUAGACAUAUAGCUUAGAAGGUAUAUAAGCCCUGAAACACUUUCUAAUUUUGAGUUGGUCUGGCGAUAAUUUCCAGACCUUCUCCCUGUAACGGGUGACAGAAAUAAAAACUCUCUUUCUGCCCGGUUCAUCUGCAUCUCGUUACUAGGCCGCGAGAAAUAGCAGCCUGACUUUCGCUUGGUCCUGGAACAAAGUUUGGUACACCAGCCAGGAGGUAAGGAUGGUGCUGUUUUCAGCCGCUGGCAGCCUGUGAGGAGACAGUCUUCAGCAGGAUCUCCCAGCUGCCAGGUGAGGUUUCCCCACGGGACCCUCCAGAGGGCUGUUCCCUGGACAAAUCUGCAUGUCCCUUUCACUGCUGGGGAAGAAUGGAGAUCGGGAGCGGAUGCGCUCAAAGGGUGCAAUAUAGGUGGUGAUAACUGUGGUGGUGAUAACUGUGAAGGUAGAGAGCAUUCCUAUCUCUUCCUGAGACUCCAAAAAGAUGCUAGAGAGUGAUUCCAGCUUGCAAGGUGACUGUGGAACAGCUCUGAUGCAGCCUCAGGAAAUUACCCUUCUUGUGGGCUGCAACUACAUCCCCAACAAGAUCUGGCCCCGAUCCUGGAAAACCAAUCAUUAACAGCUUUCAUUUCAGAAAGCCAAGCAAUUUAUAUGGACUCACUCCCAUAAACACAAUUCUGAGUGUCAACCAAUUGAGAACAAUUUUGUUGGAGUAAUCACAUUUUGGCAGCGAAUGUCAACCUACUUAAACUUCUGAAAGGUCACCAAUCCCUGACUUUUAAGCUUCCAAAAAUUCUGGUAUAAAUCCAGCAGCUUGCUCUUUUUAGAGAGGCUAUACCUGACCAGCAUAUCUCUAUUCACUAUAGUAAGCAAUAAGCACAACAUGUUUUUUCUUUCAAAUAUUGAGUGGUGAUUUCUUCAUAAUUUGACAGUAUCAUUUAUCCCAUGGAAGAACAAGUAGUUAUAUAUCUUAUUCUGGAAUUCCUUUUGAGCAUUAGAGCAAUCUUCCCCAAAAACUGCGAACUUAAAAAAAAUAAUAAUAUUCUCUAUUCAACAGUAGGUGGAAAAUCAAACUCAGAAACAUUUUAGCAGAAUUUAUUUUGCUGGGUUUUUUUCCUCCUAAACUUAGCAUUGUUAUCUGGAUACAAUCAAGAUACUUUAUUUCACAGCCAACGUCAUGUAACAACUUUUUGUAACAUUACUCAGCUCGUAGCUUUUCUCUUUCGGAAAAAGUGUUUGGAAAGCAGAAUUAAAAACGAACUUGAGGGCCAGGCGCAGUGGCUCACGCCUGUAAUCCCAACAUUUUGGGAGUCUGAGGCGGGUGGAUCACGAGGUCAGGAGACCGAGACCAUCCUGGCUAAUACAGUGAGACCCCGUCUCUACUAAAAAUACAAAAAAUUAGCCAUGCAUGGUGGCACGUGCCAAGUCCCAGCUACCGGGGAGGCUGAGGCAGGAGAAUCGCUUGAACCUGGGAGGCAGAGGUUGCAGUGAGCCGAGAUUGUGCCACUGCACUCCAGCCUGAGCAACAGAGUGAGACUCCAUCUCAAAAAAUAAAAAAAUAAAAUAAAAAUUAAAAGUCAACAUUUAAAAGACUUGGAUUUUUCUUAGUUUUUUUUUUUUUUUUUUUUUUUUUGGCUUAAUAUAAGUCUUCCUCUCUCUCUCUCUUUUUCUUUCUUUUUUUUUGAGAGGCAGCCUUGGUCUGUCGCCCAGGCUGGAGUGCAGUGGCACCAUCUCGGCUCACUGCAACCUCUGCCUUCUGGGUUUCAGAGAUUCUAGGGCCUCAACCUCCCAAGUAGCUGGGAUUACAAGUGUGCGCCACCAUGCCCAACUAAUUUUUGUAUUUUUAGUAGAGAUGGGUUUCACCAUGUUGGCCAGCCUGGUCUCAAACUCCCAACUUCAAGAGAUCUGCCGGCCUUGGCCUCCGAAAGUGCUAGGAUUACAAGCGUAAGCCACCAGGCCCAGCCUACAUUUUCUUUUAUCUGUGUGUAAAUAUGUUGAUGGUAUAGUGUGCAUAAGGGAAAAUAAGCUUAUUAAAAACUCAAGCUUCAGGGAUAACUGGCUAGGCCUUACUUUUAAAGAAAUAGUUGCACCUUUAACAUUUUCUGCUAUGAUAGAAAAAUAUUAUCCAAUUAAAAUGUAAGCAACCUAAACAUCAUUGAUUACUCUAAAAGAAUUAUAGAAUAGUAAUAUCUUGCCAAUAUCGAUAUUUGUGGUGCUACUCUGUUCUCAUUGCAUUAGCUAUUAGACAAUGUCUUAUAGAGUUCAUGGCCAUUUUCUGCUUAUGAAUGAGAAUAAAUACUUGUGAAAACAUAACGUGUAAGACAUCAGGUAUACAUAUAUUAAAAUAUGUCAGUUGGCGAAAAGUAAUAAUUGUCUUACCAAGGAAAAUUGCCUUUAGAUUUGACUGUGUUCAGCUCUGGUACAAAACAUAACAAACAUUAUGUUUCUACCUUAAUUAAAAAGUAAAUGUGGUUAUUUUAAAAACUGUUUAAAAUUAAAGCCUAUUUUAUAAGAUGUUAUAUGAGACACUGCAUUAUUCCUUAUCAAAUUUAUAAGGCUGUAU
rnacentral:lncRNA from 10 species